rnacentral:snRNA from 1 species
UGGCUCAGAAGUGCUUGAAAGG